UGGAAACGGCAACGUCGUCUUCCACAAAAGAGGCCGGUUGCAGAAAGUGCAGCACCAUCUCUGCGAUCGCUUUAUAAAAACAAAACGAAGGAUGUAGGGAGGGAGUAAUUCAGUCCAAGCAUGGAUUCAUUUAAUGUCUCCAUUUGUCAAUCUGCCGCACCAACCAGACUGGGGUAGAACAUGGGGAUCCUUUGCACAACAACAGAUUAAAACAGAAAUCAUUAUGAACUUUCUUAUUUUGAUUUAAAAAAAUUGAUUUUGAAUUGAAUCUUGAGUAAAACAGUAAACCUCUCUAUUUCUGUUCUAGUAUCCCCACAUUGGUGCAGAUGGUGAACGAGAACAGAGUGGUAGCUCCCCUGUCUUGAUCUUGUGACUGACGGCUCCAGCUCCAAGUAGGGGGGGGAUACAUGUGAUUCAUUCUGCCAGUUGUCGGUCAACCUCUCUGCCUCCCCACCUCCUCCUUUCACUGGACACAUGGGAUCCCACGGCACAAACCCGACUUGGCAAGCAACCAGGAAAUGUCAUCUGUGCCUUCCUUUCCUGCUCUGGAAAUCUGCUAUGUAAUUGCGUGAACCGGCGGAGCGUGAACGAAGACUUGCGCGACACUGUGCCUUUGUUAUCCGGGCUUUUCUGAAAUUAGACACAAGGAUGUAACAACACGUAGCAGCCCUGGGAAGCUCAGUGCCGUUUGUGAGUGUAAACGAAAGCCGUCUGUUAAGCGGACGUCGCAGUGCAACUCCAGAGACGCUCUCCGACCAAUCUGGAGGCAGGAAGCUUGUCAGACUGAGUGGACGUUAAGCCGGAAUACCUCCUAUUAAAAACUACUGACUCCGCUGUUGCCUUCGGCAGAAGAUAAAUUAAAUACAGACGCUAUUGGCAUCUAGAUCAAGCAGCAAAACAGACAAGGCGUUCAGCCUCCUCAACAGCGGAUCUCACACAGCCGCUUGGCUUUAAAUCUAGAUGGGUGGCAGGCGUCCAUAAGAGAAACCCUGUGGCAGCACUGUAUAAACAUAUGCCAUCCAGACCAGCCAGGAAAUUAAAACAGGGAGACAAGCCGGCCUCCUGUGGACAAAGUCUCAGGAAGGAAGAUGCCGUCUUAUAAUGGUGAAGCUGAGUCAGGGCCUUUAUGAACCUGGUAGGCAAAGGAACUCAAUCUGCAAGAGGCAGAGAAAAGCCUGGAAUUCAACACGGACAAAACGAAGGAGGUUGACUUAAAUCCACACCGGCAUGGGAGCUGGAAGAAAAAAAGUGUCACACGGGUUAGGUAAGGAGUCAAUGCAGCCGAUGUUUGU